GAUGAACGCUAGCGGCAGGCCUAAUACAUGCAAGUCGGACGGGAUUCAGGAGCUUGCUUCUGAUGAGAGUGGCGCACGGGUGCGUAACACGUAUGUAACCUACCUUUAUCAGGGGGAUAGCCUCUCGAAAGAGAGAUUAAGCCCGCAUAAAAUCACAGCACAGCAUUGUGUAAUGAUCAAAUAUUUAUAGGAUAAAGAUGGGCAUGCGGAACAUUAGCUAGAUGGCGGGGUAACGGCCCACCAUGGCGACGAUGUUUAGGGGAUCUGAGAGGAUGGCCCCCCACACUGGUACUGAGACACGGACCAGACUCCUACGGGAGGCAGCAGUAAGGAAUAUUGGACAAUGGGCGGAAGCCUGAACCAGCCAUGCCGCGUGCAGGAAGACGGCCCUACGGGUUGUAAACUGCUUUUAUACGGGAAUAAACCCAGAUACGUGUAUCUGGCUGAAUGUACUGGAAGAAUAAGGAUCGGCUAACUCCGUG
rnacentral:rRNA from 1 species